UCCCUCACAACGCACGCCCGACUUGAAGGGUGGGGCCCACGUCUCGAUGCGGGUGUCGGGCCUGGGUGGGGAGGGCCCUGCCUGGCGUGGGAGCCCUGUCUGGGCUCUGCCUUGGUUAUGGGGCCCUGAGAGGCCGGUGGCCAGUGUUGGUGGUGCUCAGGUGGGCUUUGGCGGUUUUGCAAUAGGCUGUGGAAGGGGGCGUAGAGGAGCCUUGGUGGUGCACCGAUUGACGUGCUGGCAGGGAGGUCAGAGGUUCAAACCUACCAGCUGCUCUGCUGAGAAGAAACCUCGCGAUCUGCUCCUGUGAAGAUUCAAAAAACCCAAACACCCAUUGCCGUCGUAUAGGAUCGCUAAGGUCGCUAGGGGAAACCCUCGUGGCGUAGUGGUUAAGUGGAACUGCUGCUAACCAAAAGGUCGGCAGUUUGAAUCCGCCAGGCGCUCCUUGGAAACUAUGGGGCAGUUCUGCUCUGUCCUAUAGGGUCGCUAUGAGUCAGAAUCGACUGGGUGGCACUGGGUUUGGUUUUGGUUUAUUAAGGUCGCUAGGAAGGGCACCUAACAACAGUAACAAUCUGUUGAUCGGCGUCAUCCUCAGAAUAGAUACGCCUUUUAAAUAUGGAAAGAAUGGCUUCUAGGCUGUUAUUUUUAGCUGACAACUAACUUCUAAAGUUUUGUGAAAUUCUACGCUGCUUCUUCAUUUUAAAACAAUUUGGACUGUAGAGGCAUCUGUUUUACUGCUCUUUCCACUUCAAAGUCAAUUCCUCCAACAUAUUUCCAAUUUAAGGUUGAUAAGAAUUUCCAAAAAGGGUCUCAGAAUACUGUUGUCGGUCCCCGUCUUUUAUUCUCAACAAGACUUCGAAUCAAAUCACUCCGGUAUGAUGCUGCCUACGCUUAUUACGAAAAGGGUUUUUUUUUUUUUUUUUUUUAAUUGUGUAGGUUUUUAAAGGAAUUUAAUCAACAUCACAGUUCUAGUGUUUUCUUGUGUAAAAUGAAGGGGCCAGAACCAGAUUCUUUGAGCAAACAAGUUAGGUAAUCACCCGGAGCCAGGUAGGGUUUCAGAGGGCUCAUUCCCUUGUGACUGGCCCAGGAUCCCCAGAAAUUGCCGCCAGCCUCAGCCUCCGUGAGCUCUCAGCCUGGGGUGGAAUCGGGAAAAUUAUUGUAUUUCUUCUCCCCUCACCGCCAUGUAAAAUACAAUACUAAACCAUAAAAUAAGUGUUAGGCAGUCUGAUAAAGUCCAAUAAAGUUCUGUGGGGUUUUUUUUUUUUUUUUCUGUGUUGACAUCUUGAAUGCUUUAAGCAAUCGAAUUAUUCUAAAAAAAAAAAUUUUUUUUUUUUCUUGCUGGCAUUGCAGCUUUGUUGGUGCUCUAAGCAAACAUUUAGUUUGCCUGUUGGCAGUCCACCUUCUGACCUGACACAAGAUGAAAGAAAAUAUUGAAUUUUGAGCAAUUACGGAUGUUUUCUGUUUGUUUUUACUUCUCCCUAAUUUGACCUUACUUUGCAUCAGAAGACACUUGCCCUUUCCCCUACUUUUUCGUUUCUUAAACCUGUGAGUCACUUCCCCUCUUUAAGGUUGAACAAGCUUCCUUGUGCUUUUCUUUCAUUCUCUAUGACCUCUGAGGGAGAGGGCCUCAGGGACUAAUCUUGCGGCCACACUCUCCAGGCUCACAAGGAUAAAACAUACCAAAUUCUGUGCUCCAUCUCUCUUUAGUCUUCAUGAGUCUAAGAACAUGGAGCUAGUGGCAAGAACACUACCCAAGACGGAAGUGUAAGAUACUAUUGAGGAUUCAAUCGACUUCUUGGACCCUCCAGGAUCUGGCUUCCCCCGGCACUCCAGGAUCUGGCUACUGCCUCUCUCUCCAGUCACCUCUCUGAUCUCCAUCAUCCUUGAAGUUUAAGCUCCAGCUAUAUGAAUCUACUCACAGGCCUUCGAACACAUCCUAGUGUAGAAUUCCUAUGUGUUGUUACUCAUGCUGUUUUCUCUACCCUGUUCAAUGGGAAUUCACCCUUCAAAACCCAAGACAGAUAAGACCAUCCUCAGAAGCCCUCCUGACUACCUCAGUUGGAAUUCAACACUGCAGCACUUUGUAAACUUUUACUUUUGCCUUUGUCACACAGUAUUAUUUACUUGUUUAUACAUUCUUGCUCUUUGACGUCAAGGAAGCUGUUUUUUCCCUUUGUAAACCCUAGUGCACAUAAUAACACCUGCACUAAAUAGAUGUCCAAUAAAUUAGUUGCUGAAAUGAAUUAAAUUUCAGUUUGUGAAUGAGCAAUUAUUUUCUUAUAAAUAUUAUCCUAUCAUUUUUUAGAGCUUACUCUUAACCAGAAAUUUCCCUGCAUCAUCAAGGUAGCCAGUGGUACUCAUACCUGACUUUGUAAGUGCUUCACAGCAGUUGUUCAUAGUGGGGUCCCUGGCCAACAGCAUUAGUAGCACAUGAAACUCGUUGGAAAUGCCAAGUCCCAGGCUCAUCCCAAUCCUAGUAAAUCAGAAACUCUGCCGUUUUAAUAAGCCCUCCGUGUGAUUCUGAUAGUCUCUAAAGUUUGAGAACCACCGUUUUACAGAAUGUUUUCUCAUAGUGCACUCUGGGGACUAGGUUAUUAGAAUCACCAACAGUGUUUGUUAAACACUCCUGCCCCUAUCCCAUGCCUACUGAAUCAGGAUCUACAGUGCUUGGGGUCCAGGAUCCUACCGUUUAAAGAUACCUCACUUGAAUACUGCUACUUUGCUCUUUCCAAGGUGCUUUCAAAUGUUCAUACUUCAGCCUCACAACAGCCUGGAAAUUUGGCGGGGUGUGGAUCAUUAUUCCCAUUUUAAUGAUGAAGCAACAGUUACAGAAAAGUUAAGUGGUUUGCCCAGUCUUAUAGCUAAGCAGCAAGGCAAGCAGGACUAGAUUCCAAGGCCAUGACCUUGGCUAGUUACCUAAUUUCUCUUUGUUUUAGUUUGCCUCAUCUAUAAGGGGCAGGGGGAGUUCUUCAUGAUCUAGGUGAAGGCUAUACGGCUGUUCAUUGUACUAUUCUUCUACCUUUUAUGUAGGCUUAAAAUGUUUCAAAAUAAAAAAAAUUUUUUUUUUUAUACAGCAAUGAGAGUGAACAGACCUGUCACUACAUGUGACAAUGUAAUGUAAAUCAAAGUGUAGUAUAAAUCAAAGACGCUAGAUACAGGUACAUACUGCACAAAAACAAGCCAACUGAGAGAGAUGCUGAUGAAGAGUGAGCUAAUUAAAUCAGGUGGACACUGGAGAGUGUGUUGGCAACUCUUGACUGGAGGGGGGAUGGGAAGAUAGAGAGAGAGGGAAGGCGGCAAAAUUGGCACGAAACAAGAGACUGAAAGGGCUGACUCAAUAGGGGGAGAGCAAGUGGGAGAAGGGAGUAAGAUGUAUGUAAACCUACACGUGACAGACUGAUUGGAAUGGUAAAUGUUCACUUGAAGCUUAAUAAAAAUUAAUUAAAAAAAAAAAAAAAAA